rnacentral:lncRNA from 1 species
GAUAUACAUAGUUACGUACAAAUGCGCUCCAGUCAUAACUGUCUACAAAUUCAAAUCCAUCGUUUGGUUUCGUUAAUUAGUUGAUGACGAAAGAAGGGGUGGACAAAAAUCUCCACAGAUCCUCCUCAUAACACUACUGAAUUCAAUUGCUGCAGUUGGAAUUGCACAAGGAGGCUCAAAGAUAACAGUUGAAGCUAUUCUCAAAUUGACUACAGUUUCAACUGCAGUAUUCGGAGAGGGUAACAUUAAACAAAGAUAAACUUACCUCCCUAAUAAUUUUCCAAAUAGAAAAAAUAUAUUUUUUUGCUAUUCUAUGGGGGGUAAUCUUAUCAUAUCACAUAUAUAAAAUGAUAAAAUUUAUAAAUACACUUGUCGACCGCACAUAACCAAAUAAAAUAUUUAUAGCUGCUGCACUUUCUACUGCAUCCAACCAAAUAAAAUCUAUAUAAUAUAAUUACUUUAUUUAUAACUGUAUGUAUCUCGAACUACACUGCAUUUAUAAUUAUACUAGAACAAACAGCGCGCCCCUCAGAUUCACUGAUCAAUUUA